rnacentral:rRNA from 1 species
AAUUUUAAACCCAGCCUAACCACACUUUCGSCAAAAACACCACCACACCAACCAAAACAUUUGAACUAACCAGUAUAUGAGAUAGSGAAACUUAAACAUUAGCGCACCAGUACCGUAAGGGAAACAAGAAAGSGAUUAAUAAAAACUUAAAACCUAAAAAGCAGAGAUCAAACCACAUACCUUUUGCAUCGSAUGGUUUAACAAGACAAAAUAGACAAAGCGACACUGAUCUUUAGCCUACAGUGSCCCGAAAUCAAGUGAGCUACCCCAGACCAACUUAUAAGAGUCAACCCGUCACUGUAGGSCAAAAGUGUGGGAAGAGUCCAGGGUAGUGGUGAAAAGCCAAACGAACUUGACGAUAGCGSUGGUUGUCCGACAAAUGAAUAUUAGUUCAACCUUAAAUAAACUAUUUUAACCCGSUAAAUAACCAACUAUUUAAGAUUUAGUCACUGGGGGCACAGCUCCAAUGACCAAGGAUGSACAACCUUAUAUAGUGACAACUUAUUAUACCUCUCCACAGUAGGCCUCAAAGSGCAGCCAACAAAAACUCAAUGCGUUAAAGCAAUAAUAUUCCUAAUACCACACAGSUACACAAACUCCUACUCCUAACCGGACCAUUCUAUACCAUAGAAAUGGSACCCUGUUAAAACUAGUAAUAAGAAAUAUUCUCCAUAACGUAAGUAAAACUUAAGSCAGACACAACAAUGCACCAAAAAUACCAAAAUACAACAACCAAGCCAAACUGUUAACGSCCAACCCAGGAACGUAUAAUGGAAAGAUAAAAAGCUAUAAAAGGAACUCGGCAACAGSCAAGUCUCAACUGUUUACCAAAAACAUAGCCUUUAGCCAAACAAGUAUUAAAGGUGAGSCGCCUGCCCAGUGACUCAUUUAACGGCCGCGGGAUCCUCCACCGUGCAAAGGUAGCAUAGSAUCACUUGUCUCCUAAAUAGAGACUAGUAUGAAUGGCCAAAUGAAGACUUACCUGUCUCUGSUAUAGCCCAUCUAUUAAACUGAUCUUUCAGUACAAAAGCUGAAAUAAUAACACGSAAGACGAAAAGACCCUGUGGAACUUAAAGCCACAGUCAUACAAAUGACCUAACGSGCUUUUAGUUGGGGCAACUUUGGAAACAAACAAAACUUCCAAUUAACUGUCAAGAUAGSGACACAUCAAAACAUUUUGCCAUGACCCAGUACCACUGAUUAAAGAGSACAAAGCUACCCCAGGGAUAACAGCGCCAUCCCCUCUUAGAGCCCCCAUCGAUGAGCGGGGSGUUUACGACCUCGAU